rnacentral:rRNA from 1 species
GACGAACGCUGGCGGCGUGCUUAACACAUGCAAGUCGAACGGAAAGGCCCUGCUUGCAGGGUGCUCGAGUGUCGAACGGGUGUGUAAAACGUGGGAGUUCUGCCCUGCACUUCGGGAUAAGACUGGGAGACUGGGUCUAUAACAGGAUAGGAGCCAUCUUGAGUGUGGUGGUUGGAAGGAUUUUUCGGUGUAGGAUGAGCUCGCGGCCUAUCAGCUUGUUGGUGGGGUAAUGGCCUACCAAGGCGGCGUCGGGUAGCCGGCCUGAGAGGGUGGACGGCCACAUUGGGGCUGAGAUACGGCCCAGACUCCUACGGGAGGCAGCAGUGGGGAAUAUUGCACAAUGGGCGCAAGCCUGAUGCAGCGACGCCGCGUGGGGGAUGACGGCCUUCGGGUUGUAAACUCCUUUCGCUAGGGACGAAGCUUUUUGUGACGGUACCUAGAUAAGAAGCACCGGCUAACUACGUG